GCGCAGUCUUGGAUCACUACUCGGCUGUAAGCACCGGCAACACCAUGAUGAAGAAAGUUGCGCUCGUACUGGUCGUCGUUCUACUAUGCACCGAAGUGAUGCUGACGGAAGCGCAAGUGCGUCCUCCCGGAAGGUCGGGCAACCCGGCCAAUCGCCCAAAACCGAAACCCGUGAAGUGUGGUAAAAAGACCUGUGCUCCUCAUCAGCGCUGCGAAAGACAACUGGUACCGGAGCCGACAUGUUACUGAAAUGAAACUUCUAACAAGAAAGAACAAUGCUCGAUGAACGUCACCUUCAUUAACGGUCAGUUUGGGAAAUAAAUGCUCACACAUGAAGAAUCGGUUAGCCUGAGAGUUUAAUUUUAUCUAUUAACAUAACAAAACAUCUAUUCCACGCAUUUAAAAAGCACGUGCAAGCCAACUCCUAAACGAAAGCAGGAUGAAUAAACUUUAUUCAGUAAAGUGAGCCGACGGUACAGUCGUUAAGGUGGGCAGCGUUAGUCCAGGAUGCCGCGGGCCUGAGCUGAGAGCUUGGCCCUGCUCAUCAGACGUCUCUGGUCUUCUAGGCUUGACCUUGUCAGCCGGGCCUCCCAAUGCUCGACGUUUGAUCCAGCGAUAGGUAAUAUUGAUGGGUUGCGUCCACACUCCCAUACCAUAUGGUAGAGUGUAUUCGUUGCAGAGCAAAACUUGUGGUCGUUUCGCUAGCUUGCGGGUUACAUAGCGAGCAAAAGGGUACCGUGACGGGAGGAACCGGACUGAAGUUUCCGGAAAGGCACUGUCUCUGCUGUCGUAAGAAUUUCGAAAGAUAAAUCUCGAAGGAGAACGCACAGGCCUCAGUUUCAUAA